rnacentral:lncRNA from 10 species
GAUUCAAUGUCUGCUAUAUGUGCUAUGUGCCACAGCAUUUCCUGUUAAUUAAAAGUCAUUCACAGCUCUGUGGGUUAAAGGGCCUAUUCCAUACUCCAGAUACUCCUAAAAGUGCUUAGGAAGGGGUAGGAGGAAAGGCAUGGCCCACCUGAAAAUAGUCCUGCUUCCCCUUGAGACCAGAGUGACCAGCAAAUCACCGUGGCAGGUGGCAUCUUCUCCCCUCCACAGCAGAGGCUCAGGCACUCCAUUAAAAAGGGAGGUAACUGUCAUCUCUCAAUUCCAGGAAUUCCUUCAUUCUCUGCCCACCACUUCACCUUCUUUGGGCUCCCUCUCUGGCCUGACCUCCCAGCAGCACCAUGUUUAGGUUCUCUUAUUUGCCAAGACUCCCUAAUAAAGAUGCCUUGGCACUCAGCCCAUAUCCCCUCCACACUUCCCUCGAUGUCUGAGGCUGCUCACUGCCAACCCUGGCAUUCUGCUUUUUGCCUGGUUUGGGGAACCUUCUAGGUCCACCUGCAGGGAAUCCAGAGUGCCAGGUCACUGCCCAGAAAGCCUGCCUCAAGCAAUCAUGAGCAAGGAACUGUUGGAUAAUGCCCAGCUUCCUCGUCCCGUAGAUGGAUUAAAUCCAAGGCAUGUUCUAAAGUGUCUCCGGGAGCUCCCUGUGGGAUCAAGCUCCAGGUGCCCACUGUGGCAAAUGGCUUAAUAAGCCCCCUUGCUUCCCUCCCUUAUCUGUCUCCCUUCCCCCAUCCAUGCUUCCUGGCC